UCUCCCUCUGGGUUUGGAUGCAGAUCCUCUCCAAGUUUCUUUGGUUUCUGCUUUAAUGCCUGACAGGAAACAUUAUCCAUUAUGAAAUGUCAGCAAAUGCCAGGGUUUGUAGACCUUCUGGCUGUUGGAAUAGGAACCACUCACUGGUGGUUUUGAGAGCUCCUGGAGGUGAUGGUCAUAUGCCCAGUUAUCUGGGGCACAGCUUUCAAGGUCCUUAGGGCUGUUGGCUGUACUGGACCUACUUACUGUUUAUUCUGGAUGAGAUACCAAAGUGUGAGUCUUCCACAGCUUUUGCUUUUUUGUUUUUUCCCCCAAAACCUGGGUCAAAUGGGGAGUGUUGUUUGGUCAAAGCACAUGUGACAGUUCUUCUAGUGUGUGUGAACCAAAAUGCUUUUCCUUCCCCUCUCAUUUUCUAAACUUGCUAUUGAGGUUUUGGGGGUCCUUCCCCAUAACUUUUCACUCAGUGGCUUUGUUUUGUGUUUAAUUUGGUUGCUACUCCACUCUAUGAACUUAGUGCACACUGAUCCUGUUUCCAGAGUUGAAGCCUGUCCCCUACAGCCUAGCAGUGCCUCCUUUGCUAUCAUUUGUAGGAAAUGAUAGAAAUAAUGCCAAGUGGCAGGUAGACAGGGGAACAGUCAUAGAGUUUUGGAAUGUAGGUGACGUUUGGUGGGGUGAGGUCCAGAGCCGAUGUCGAGAAAGAGUUCCUGAAACCUCUUUGGUGCAAAACGGUGGUUUUAUUAAAGCACGGGGACAGGAUCCGUGCACAGAAAGCGUGGCAUCAGUGUUGUGGGGGGAACUGACACACCCUUGAAAGGUGGGGGAGGUAAGGACAGGGAAGGGUUUCAAAAGAACUUUCCUAUGCUAAGGAAGACCUACAAGAUAAUGGAGACCUUGCCAUUGUCAAGUGAGGUGGUUUUACCUUCUAGCAGGGAAUGAACAUGAAGAUGGUAGGAACAGGCAUUCUUUUGUUUCAAGGAGACUUGAGUUUUUUAAAAAACCUUUUGGCCUGAUCCAAAACACCUCCACUAAAUCUUUUCUACCCUGUGCUAUUUGCCCUCCUUACUACUGGGAGAUAACCUUAUCCUUGGAAGGGGUACCUAAGUCUCAGUGUACCUGGACCAGAAAUGAAAAUGUCAGAUGUAUUCCUGACCAACCCAAGUAUAUGACACGAAGGAAAAAACAAACCUCGGGACCAAUUUGAAAGGACGUGGGGCUGAGAGGAGGCAUUUCUCCAGUGGCAUCUGUUCCUACUGCACACGAUCUGCAUCUACAUUCUGUUCCAGCUCCAUCCGUCAAACGAUGGCCACCGAGGUACAGGCACCACCGACUGAUGGACCACAAAGACCCCCCUGAGCAAGCGCAAGGCUCUGUACAGAGAAACACAGAAGCAACCAGGACUUGCGGGACCUACAGUCUAUUCGGUCCUCGUUCUGCCACUAACCGGAACCGUCUCAUUUCCUGUGAGAGAAGUUAAAACUGUUCUUGAUCGUUAACUGAGCAGCUGAAGGAUGAAAUCAGGGAGCAGCUAUGAAAGGCCUUUGUACAUAUCACUAUCACCAGCCUUGCACAUCUCUAAACUGUACUGAAGACACUGUCACGCUGACAAUAAAAUCUUCGUGAUUGUGAAUACAGCAGACAACAGGGUCUAGCGCUCACAGUCCCACUGUCAGGGUCUUCCACUCAUACAGAGGUCACGUCGACAAGGGUUUUUAUCAGGACCCCUGUUGGUAACAGCAGAGGAUGAGAAGCCAGGCACCCAUCCUUCACCGGGGCCCCGGUGACAUCAAGUAUGUGGCUGAUGGCAGCAGCAGGUGCAAGUAGCUGGGGACAGGCGUAGGAGACAGGCGGUCGCUGCAUCUCCUCCUAAUAUAUUUUUAACAUUUUGAACCAGGCGGGCACCUUCCCAAAUGAAACAAUUCGGGAAAGAAGAGGGCGAAUGUUCAUUUACCUUUAAUCUCCAGAAGGUGGUCUCCAUCCCAGUCCCAAGAUUUAGAAUUUGACAAUGACAUUCUGUCUUCUGCAGAAAUGCCCUUAUCAGCUGACUGACGCCAUAGACUCGAGCAAAAUAUCCUGAGAAAGAGACACAGAGACAAGUUAUCGCUCAGUGAGAUCAGAAAGCAUCCCUGCAGAGCCCGCCCUAGGAGAGGAGGAAAUGAGGAUUCGGCUGCUCUUCUUUGGGGUGCAAACUACUGAGGACUCAGCUAAACGUCAACAUGCGAGAUCAAGACGAUAUAAUAUUUUGCGGUCAGAAUAUGGGGCAGAUAAAUGUCCAAGCAAAAUGAAAUAAAAUAAAAUAAAAUAAAAUAAAAUAAAAUAAAAUAAAGCCGUAUUUCUAACCAUGUUCCCUUCAUCUCCAACCUGUGUGGGUAAAAGUCUCUAUGCUUAUAAACUGACCUCACAGACCGACUGCAGGAGAGGAAGGCACGAGCAAACAUUGCCCCCAAAAUGGACUUAUUCAGCUCCAGGGUGAGGAGCUUGGGUAAAGGAGAUGGUGAAUAAAAGGGGGAAAGGAAGAUAAAAUCUGUGUUCUAUAGCCCUGUUGCUUAAAGUGUAACUAUCUUAAGAACAGAACGUGAGCAGCAUUUAGAAAUGUACUGCAAUGUGAUAUAGGAGUUAGGUGUCUAUUGAUUCUCCUAAUAAAUCAUUUGAGCUUGUA